rnacentral:rRNA from 1 species
UUACACAUGCAAGUCGCACGACGAGUGCCGUGACGUUUUUGAUCCAACUCUUUGAUGUCUCCUGACCUUCGGGUCCUGAGACUGACGAGACGCGGUGACAAAGCUGACCGGAAUUACACUCGGAGUGGCGGACGGGUGAGUAACGCGUGAAUAAUCAACCUCAGGGUAGAGAACAACCUCGGGAAACCUUGGCUAAUUCUCCAUAUUGGUUGCGAGACAUAAGUCUUGUAAUGAAAGAUCCUUCGGGAUCGCCCUGGGACGAGUUCGCGUCCCAUUAGCUAGUUGGCAGGGUAAGUGCCUACCAAGGCAAUGAUGGGUAGCUGAUCUUAGAGGAUGAUCAGCCACACUGGAACUGAGACACGGUCCAGACUCCUACGGGAGGCUGCAGUGGGGAAUCUUGCACAAUGAGCGUAAGCUUGAUGCAGCGACGCCGCGUGGAGGAUGAAGGCCCUCGGGUCGUAAACUCCUACUCACAGGGAGGAAGAAGGUCGACAGGCAAUGGUCGACCGGUGACGUUACCUGUGAAAUUAGGUCCGGCUAACUACGUGCCAGCAGCCGCGGUAAUACGUAGGGACCAAGCGUUAUCCCGGAAUCACUGGGUGUAAAGGGUACGCAGGCGGACAUGUAGGUCUAUUGUGAAAGUCCCGGGCUUACCCCGGGGAUUGCNUUGGAAACCCCAUGU